rnacentral:lncRNA from 1 species
AAGUUGAUCGUGAUAUGAUCAAGUACUUUCUGGGUUGUCUCAGACCUUACGAUUGAUGUUUAUCCCCAAACCAAAAUAUUGGGAGACUUUUUUUUUACAGACACGCAAAGGGUUUACUUGUUACUAAUAUAGCCUAGCCUCGUUCUUCUUUAGAUCCCUUGUUUCACUCCGAUAGUUUUAUAGAUCGUGUCAAUGCAGAGGAAAUGAAU